rnacentral:lncRNA from 1 species
CUGAGCCUGGCAGCAAUUGCUCUACCCAGCCAGUUCCCAAGGCAGGUUUUCACCAUGCCAGAAAUAUCCAUCUCAAUUCCAGGGUGGCUUAGUGUCCUAGCCGCCACAUAGCCUCUUAAACUUAAUUCACUACAGAAAGAACACACAACACAAUAACCUCUGAUCCAAUUGAUAAGAUAUAAUUGCCCACCUGAACAUACAAAGCCCUGUACACAUCCAUCGCUUAAGAACAUUCAUAACAACCUGUAAAGGUACAGAGUAGAAUCUUAACAUCUGCCUCAGAGGCUUCUUCUCCACUCUCCUUCUGUUCAUUCCAGUCUUCUCCUCUUCCCUCAAACUUUUCUCCCGCCUAUCCUUCCUUCUCGUCCAAUGACAGGCCUCGUUCAGCUGUAUGACAUCAUCCUACACACUGUACAUCACCUUCAUGGCAAGCACAAAAGUAUUACCAGGAGAAGUUAUUGAAGUAUCAGUGUGCAGCUUUACUGGGGCUUCAUUACGGGGUCUUCCACAGAAAUUUUUGGACCUUCCUGAUCCUGAACUAUGUAAUUUAUUUGGCUAAAAGGCUGCUACAGAUGAGCCACACAAAUGGAGGCCUGAGAUGUAGCUGGGCAUAUCGCACACAAUGCUGCCACAACCGGGAGAAGAGCUUCCCCCUGGGUAGCCAUCACCACUUCAGCCUGCACUCCAGAAUUAUAUAGCACAUGGAAUAGACCAGUCAGAAUCCACAACAGAGGCUGGAGAGGACAGCUUCAUUGCACAGCAUGGAGGCAGGAGCAGCUGAACUUCCACCCCAGCCAAGACCAGCUGACCUACGAGCACACAAGACCAAAUGAAUGGUUAUCGUUUUAGCCUAUUGGCUUUUGGAGUGAUUUGCUGGGUGGCAUUAUUGUGGCUAUAUUAUAUAAUGGGGGGUUACCACAAAAAAUAAAUCUUGAAAUAUGUGGUGUUGACUUAGAAUUGGAUGACAGGGACCCAAGAAACAGGAAGCUAUGGGGGAAAUGACAGCAGCAAGGUCUUUAGUGACGUCACCCCUCAAGGUCAUCACACAAACCAGAAAUACCUACUCAGAUGCAAACACUGAAGGAGUCUGAAGC